rnacentral:rRNA from 1 species
UGAGCUUGAUCCCUGGCUCAGAACGAACGCUGGCGGCAGGCUUAACACAUGCAAGUCGAACGCAUCCUUCGGGGUGAGUGGCAGACGGGUGAGUAACGCGUGGGAACGUGCCCUUCAGUUCGGGAUAACCCAGGGAAACUUGGGCUAAUACCGGAUACGUGCGAGAGCAGAAAGAUUGAUCGCUGAAGGAUCGGCCCGCGUCUGAUUAGCUAGUUGGUGGGGUAAUGGCCCACCAAGGCGACGAUCAGUAGCUGGUCUGAGAGGAUGAUCAGCCACAUUGGGACUGAGACACGGCCCAAACUCCUACGGGAGGCAGCAGUGGGGAAUAUUGGACAAUGGGCGCAAGCCUGAUCCAGCCAUGCCGCGUGAGUGAUGAAGGCCUUAGGGUUGUAAAGCUCUUUCGUCCGGGACGAUAAUGACGGUACCGGAAGAAGAAGCCCCGGCU